ensembl:lncRNA
GACUGACUGAAGGGGGUUCUGGAUACAGCCUAGUGACUGACUGGAUGGGGGUUCUGGAUACAGACUAGUGACUGACUGAAGGGGGAGUUCUGGAUACAGACUAGUGACUGACUGAAGGAGGGGUUCUGGAUACAGCCUAGUGACUGACUGAAGGGGGGUUCUGGAUACAGACUAGUGACUGACUGAAGGGGGGGUUCUGGAUACAGCCUAGUGACUGACUGAAUGGGGGUUCUGGAUACAGACUAGUGACUGACUGAAGGGGGUUUCUGGAUACAGACUAGUGACUGACUGAAUGGGGGUUCUGGAUACAGACUAGUGACUGACUGAAGGGGGUGUUCUGGAUACAGACUAGUGACUGACUGAAUGGGG